rnacentral:misc_RNA from 1 species
GAUGAAGAACGCAGCGAAAUGCGAUAAGUAAUGUGAAUUGCAGAAUUCAGUGAAUCAUCGAAUCUUUGAACGCACAUUGCGCCCGCCAGUAUUCUGGCGGGCAUGCCUGUUCGAGCGUCAUUUCAACCAUCAAGCCCUCGGCUUGUGUUGGGGACCUGCGGCUGCCGCAGGCCCUGAAAACCAGUGGCGGGCUCGCUAGUCACUCCGAGCGUAGUAAUACAUCUCGCUCAGGGCGUGCUGCGGGUUCCGGCCGUUAAAAGCCUUAUUUACCCAAGGUUGACCUCGGAUCAGGUAGGAAGACCCGCUGAACUUAAGCAUAUCAAUAAGCGGAGGA